CAAGUCGAACGCGAAAGCCUCCUUCGGGGGGCAAGUAGAGUGGCGCACGGGUGAGUAACACGUAGGUAAUCUACCUUUGGAUUGGGAAUAACCACCGGAAACGGUGGCUAAUACCGAAUAAUGCAGCGGCACCUAAUGGUGACAGUUGUUAAAGCGGGGGAUCGCAAGACCUCGCGUCUGAAGAGGAGCCUGCGGCAGAUUAGCUAGUUGGUAAGGUAACGGCUUACCAAGGCGAUGAUCUGUAGCCGGCCUGAGAGGGCGGUCGGCCACACUGACACUGACAUACGGGUCAGACUCCUACGGGAGGCAGCAGUCGGGAAUUUUGGGCAAUGGGCGAAAGCCUGACCCAGCAACGCCGCGUGAAGGAUGAAAUCCUUCGGGAUGUAAACUUCGCAAGAACGGGAAGAAUAAGUAAGAGUUAAUAUCUCUUACGAUGACGGUACUGUUUGUAAGCUCCGGCUAACUCCGUGCCAGCAGCCGCGGUAAUACGGGGGGAGCAAGCGUUGUUCGGAUUUACUGGGCGUAAAGGGCGCGUAGGCGGCCACCGCAAGUCGACUGUGAAAUCUCCGGGCUUAACCCGGAAAGGUCAGCCGAUACUGCGGGGCUAGAGUGCAGAAGGGGCAACUGGAAUUCUCGGUGUAGCGGUGAAAUGCGUAGAUAUCGAGAGGAACACCUGCGGCGAAGGCGGGUUGCUGGGCUGACACUGACGCUGAUGCGCGAAAGCUAGGGGAGCGAACGGGAUUAGAUACCCCGGUAGUCCUAGCCUUAAACGAUGAAUGCUUGGUGUCUGGGGUUUUAUAGUCCCCGGG
rnacentral:rRNA from 1 species